UGUUCUUGCUAUGCUUGGAGUUCGUGUAGUCAUGGGAGUGUGGAAUAUAGCUGCAGGUAAAGAUGUUAAGAAAACAAUACCAAAGGAAAACUCUUCGGAUAAAGUUGAUGUUAUGGAGCUAUAUCUUAGAUCCAUGGCAUCGGUGAUACAAUUUGCUUCCAAAUUCGAGUCGAAAACAUCAACCAGCAGCACGACAUUGGUAUCCCAUAACGUGGGCUAUCUUGAAAAAGGUCAAAUUCCAACCAAGAUUGGGUUAUUUGGAAAGAUCCAGAGAUACUAACCUUUUCGAUGAUACUCCGUACUACAGGAUACUUCAAUUGAACUAGGAAGUUUAGUUGUUUGUCAAUCUCAUGUUUUUGUUUGUAAAGUUUUGAAACAAUGUCUCCAUGUUGAUUUAGCCUUGUAGCCAUGGAGUUUGAGUCUAAUUUGAAGGAAACGACGAGUGACGAUACCAAUCACUUAUUCACCGGUAAGUCAUACUCAUCAUCAC